UACGGAGGGUGCAAGCGUUAUCCGGAUUCACUGGGUUUAAAGGGUGCGUAGGUGGGCAGGUAAGUCAGUGGUGAAAUCUCCGGGCUUAACCCGGAAACUGCCAUUGAUACUAUCUGUCUUGAAUACCGUGGAGGUGAGCGGAAUAUGUCAUGUAGCGGUGAAAAUGCUUAGAUAUGACAUAGAACACCCAAUUGCGAAGGCAGCUCACUACACGAAUAUUGACACUGAGGCACGAAAGCGUGGGGAUCAAACAGG
rnacentral:rRNA from 1 species